rnacentral:rRNA from 1 species
UGACGUUGGGAAAGCGAGCGGCGGAUGGGUGAGUAACACGUGGGGAACCUGCCCCUAAGUCUGGGAUACCAUUUGGAAACAGGUGCUAAUACCGGAUAAUAAAGCAGAUCGCAUGAUCAGCUUUUGAAAGGCGGCGUAAGCUGUCGCUAAGGGAUGGCCCCGCGGUGCAUUAGCUAGUUGGUAAGGUAACGGCUUACCAAGGCGACGAUGCAUAGUCGAGUUGAGAGACUGAUCGGCCACAUUGGGACUGAGACACGGCCCAAACUCCUACGGGAGGCAGCAGUAGGGAAUCUUCCACAAUGGACGCAAGUCUGAUGGAGCAACGCCGCGUGAGUGAAGAAGGUUUUCGGAUCGUAAAGCUCUGUUGUUGGUGAAGAAGGAUAGAGGUAGUAACUGGCCUUUAUUUGACGGUAAUCAACCAGAAAGUCACGGCUAACUACGUGCCAGCAGCCGCGGUAAUACGUAGGUGGCAAGCGUUGUCCGGAUUUAUUGGGCGUAAAGCGAGCGCAGGCGGAAAAAUAAGUCUAAUGUGAAAGCCCUCGGCUUAACCGAGGAACUGCAUCGGAAACUGUUUUUCUUGAGUGCAGAAGAGGAGAGUGGAACUCCAUGUGUAGCGGUGGAAUGCGUAGAUAUAUAGAAGAACACCAGUGGCGAAGGCGGCUCUCUGGUCUGCAACUGACGCUGAGGCUCGAAAGCAUGGGUAGCGAACAGGAUUAGAUACCCUGGUAGUCCAUGCCGUAAACGAUGAGUGCUAAGUGUUGGGAGGUUUCCGCCUCUCAGUGCUGCAGCUAA